UACGAAGGGGGCUAGCGUUGUUCGGAAUCACUGGGCGUAAAGGGCGCGUAGGCGGCCGAUCAAGUCGGGGGUGAAAGCCUGUGGCUCAACCACAGAAUUGCCUUCGAUACUGUUUGGCUUGAGACCGGAAGAGGUUAGUGGAACUGCGAGUGUAGAGGUGAAAUUCGUAGAUAUUCGCAAGAACACCAGUGGCGAAGACGGCUGACUGGUCCGGUUCUGACGCUGAGGCGCGAAAGCGUGGGGAGCAAACAGG
rnacentral:rRNA from 1 species